AACGAACGCUGGCGGCGUGCCUAACACAUGCAAGUCCGACGUGAAAGGGGAGCAAUCCCCCGGUAGGGUGGCANACGGGUGAGUAAUACAUGGGUGAUCUACCUUAGGGAUGGGGAUAUCCUUCCGAAAGGAGGGGCAAUACCGAAUAUUGUCCGGAGCCGUGAAGGGUUCCGGGGAAAGGGAGGCCUCUGAUACAAGCUUUCGCCUUAAGAUGAGCCCAUGGCCCAUCAGCUAGUUGGUAGGGUAAAGGCCUACCAAGGCUACGACGGGUCGCUGGUCUGAGAGGACGACCAGCCACACUGGCACUGAGAUACGGGCCAGACUCCUACGGGAGGCAGCAGUGAGGAAUAUUGCNCAAUGGGGGAAACCCUGACGCAGCAACGCCGCGUGUGGGAAGAAGGCCUUCGGGUCGUAAACCACUUUUGCACGGGACGAAAAAGGGAUAUCGAACAAAUAUCCCCGAUGACGGUACCGUGAGAAUAAGCCACGGCUAACUCUGUGCCAGCAGCCGCGGUAAGACAGAGGUGGCAAGCGUUGUUCGGAAUUACUGGGCGUAAAGAGUCUGUAGGUGGUUUGUCAAGUCUUUGGUGAAAGGCCGUAGCUUAACUAUGGGAAUGCCAAAGAGACUGGCAGGCUGGAGGCUGGGAGAGGGAAGCGGAAUUUCUGGUGUAGCGGUGAAAUGCGUAGAUAUCAGAAGGAAGGCCGGUGGCGAAGGCGGCUUCCUGGAACAGUCCUGACACUGAGAGACGAAAGCGUGGGGAGCACACAGGAUUAGAUACCCUGGUAGUCCACGCCCUAAACGAUGGGUACUANGUGUGGAGGGGUUAAACCCUCCGUGCCGCAGCAAACGCAGUAAGUACCCCGCCUGGGGAGUACGGCCGCAAGGUUGAAACUCAAAGGAAUUGACGGGGGCCCGCACAAGCGGUGGUGCAUGUGGUUUAAUUCGACGCAACGCGAGGAACCUUACCUAGGCUUGACAUGUGGUGAGUAGCGAACCGAAAGGGGAGCGACCCGUCAAAUCGGGCCAUCACACAGGUGCUGCAUGGCUGUCGUCAGCUCGUGCCGUGAGGUGUUGGGUUC
rnacentral:rRNA from 1 species